GCGCCCGUAGUGAAAUGGACAUCACGUUGCCCUCCGAAGGCAGAAGUCCGAGUUCGAGUCUCGGCGGGCGCACAA
rnacentral:tRNA from 1 species